AUCUCUUAAAGCCGUUCUCAGUUCGGAUUGUAGGCUGCAACUCGCCUACAUGAAGUCGGAAUCGCUAGUAAUCGCGGAUCAGCAUGCCGCGGUGAAUACGUUCCCGGGCCUUGUACACACCGACCGUCACACCAUGAGAGUUUGUAACACCCAAAGCCGGUGGGGUAACCUUUUGGAGCCAGCCGUCUAAGGUGGGACAGAUGAUUAGGGUGAAGUCGUAACAAGGUACC
rnacentral:rRNA from 1 species